UGGGGAAUUUUGGACAAUGGGCGAAAGCCUGAUCCAGCAAUGCCGCGUGUGUGAAGAAGGCCUUCGGGUUGUAAAGCACUUUUGUCCGGAAAGAAAUCCUUGGCUCUAAUACAGUCGGGGGAUGACGGUACCGGAAGAAUAAGCACCGGCUAACUACGUGCCAGCAGCCGCGGUAAUACGUAGGGUGCAAGCGUUAAUCGGAAUUACUGGGCGUAAAGCGUGCGCAGGCGGUUUGCUAAGACCGAUGUGAAAUCCCCGGGCUCAACCUGGGAACUGCAUUGGUGACUGGCAGGCUAGAGUAUGGCAGAGGGGGGUAGAAUUCCACGUGUAGCAGUGAAAUGCGUAGAGAUGUGGAGAAUACCGAUGGCGAAGGCAGCCCCUGGGCCAAUACUGACGCUCAUGCACGAAAGCGC
rnacentral:rRNA from 1 species